rnacentral:rRNA from 1 species
GAUGAACGCUGGCGGCGUGCCUAAUACAUGCAAGUCGAGCGAACGGACGAGAAGCUUGCUUUUCUGAUGUUAGCGGCGGACGGGUGAGUAACACGUGGAUAACCUACCUAUAAGACUGGGAUAACUUCGGGAAACCGGAGCUAAUACCGGAUAAUAUUUUGAACCGCAUGGUUCAAAAGUGAAAGACGGUCUUGCUGUCACUUAUAGAUGGAUCCGCGCUGCAUUAGCUAGUUGGUAAGGUAACGGCUUACCAAGGCAACGAUGCAUAGCCGACCUGAGAGGGUGAUCGGCCACACUGGAACUGAGACACGGUCCAGACUCCUACGGGAGGCAGCAGUAGGGAAUCUUCCGCAAUGGGCGAAAGCCUGACGGAGCAACGCCGCGUGAGUGAUGAAGGUCUUCGGAUCGUAAAACUCUGUUAUUAGGGAAGAACAUAUGUGUAAGUAAUUGUGCACAUCUUGACGGUACCUAAUCAGAAAGCCACGGCUAACUACGUG